rnacentral:lncRNA from 1 species
AGCCUCACUCCAUUAAGGAAUCAAGAAACUCGGAUCACACAGGUCACAAAAACAAACUGCCCUCUUCGAACCACAGAAGAAUGAGUGCUAAUACACAGUGUAUCACUUUCUACCGAGAGACUAUACACAAAAUCAUAAAGAUUUCACAGAAAUUUGAACUUCAAACACAAAUCACGCAGAUUCGUACACCAUACCCAAAAACCCAUUAAAUUAACACAAGUAAAUGGAGUAGAACUUCAUCAUCCCUCAAGUAUACAGCUGAGAAUCAUUCAAAAUUGGCUUGAAUAUGUGAAGAAGAGGGAUUUCAUACACAGAGAAGAAGAGAGAUGAAGAGGCGAACCCAAACCCUAGAGAAAAUCUCUCAAAUUUGAAAAUGUAAGAAUAAAG